AUUGUUGAAUUCUUCUCUAAAACUCUCC
rnacentral:sRNA from 1 species